rnacentral:rRNA from 1 species
GAGGGCCCGAGUCGGAUCACAGACACCUUUAGUUUGAACUGAAUGCAAAUGUGCGGACCUCGUGCCGCCUAAACCUUNACAACUUUCAACAACGGAUCUCUUGGCUCUCGCAUCGAUGAAGAACGCAGCGAAAUGCGAUAAGUAAUGUGAAUUGCAGAAUUCAGUGAAUCAUCGAAUCUUUGAACGCACCUUGCGCUCCCUGGUAUUCCGGGGAGCAUGCCUGUUUGAGUGUCUUGAAGUCAUCAACCCCUCCYGUUCUGUGCGGGAGCUGGGUUGGAGCUUGGGGGCCUGCGUCCGCGAGGUCGCUCCCCUGAAANGCUUCGGUUUGGGCCUGCGGGCYGGACUCGGUUGGGCGUUGUACCAUCCUCGCUCGCRAAGUCCCCUGCAAACAGUUGCCCGCYGCUGACCGCCCCUCUGUGUGGUGGCCAAAACACUUUCUGCGAUCUGACCUCAAAUCAGGUAGGACUACCCGCUGAACUUAAGCAUAUCAAUAAGCGGAGGAAAAGAAACUAACAAGGAUU